AGUGAACGCUGGCGGUAGGCCUAACACAUGCCAGUCGAACGGCAGCACAGUAAGAGCUUGCUCUUACGGGUGGCGAGUGGCGGACGGGUGAGGAAUACAUCGGAAUCUACUUUUUCGUGGGGGAUAACGUAGGGAAACUUACGCUAAUACCGCAUACGACCUACGGGUGAAAGCAGGGGAUCUUCGGACCUUGCGCGAUUGAAUGAGCCGAUGUCGGAUUAGCUAGUUGGCGGGGUAAAGGCCCACCAAGGCGACGAUCCGUAGCUCGUCUGAGAGGAUGAUCAGCCACACUGGAACUGAGACACGGUCCAGACUCCUACGGGAGGCAGCAGUGGGGAAUAUUGGACAAUGGGCGCAAGCCUGAUCCAGCCAUACCGCGUGGGUGAAGAAGGCCUUCGGGUUGUAAAGCCCUUUUGUUGGGAAAGAAAAGCAGCAGGUUAAUACCCCGCUGUUCUGACGGUACCCAAAGAAUAAGCACCGGCUAACUUCGUG
rnacentral:rRNA from 1 species